CCUCUACUUUAACAUGGAGGUGCUUGCUGGAUGCCUAAAAAGUAAGUGCUUCCAUGUUUUAGUUGCGG
rfam:Chlamydotis undulata macqueenii contig25172, whole genome shotgun sequence.